rnacentral:rRNA from 1 species
UACGUAGGCAGCGAGCGUUGUUCGGAGUUACUGGGCGUAAAGAGUGCGUAGGCGGUUUUCUAAGUUUUGGUGUGAAAUCUCCCGGCUUAACUGGGAGGGUGCGCCGAAGGACUGGAAGGCUAGAGUAUGGGAGAGGUAAGCGGAAGUUCCUGGUGUAGCGGUGAAAUGCGUAGAUAUCAGGAGGAACACCUGCGGUGUAGACGGCUUACUGGACCAUAACUGACGCUGAGGCACGAAAGCGUGGGUAGCAAACAGG